UAUUAAAAAUUCCAUCAAUUUCUAUUGUUAAAAACUAACAUAGCUGACAGAAUAACCAAAUAGUUACGUGCGGUGUGCCACGUAUACCUUAUUCUAGCGUACAAGGACUGAGUUUUAACAAUAGAAAUAGAUGAAAUUUUUAAUA
rfam:Gossypium arboreum cultivar AKA8401 contig_2616_11, whole genome shotgun sequence.